GAUUGCCAACCAAAGCAACUAAAACUCCGCUUGCUAUUCGCUUUUUUCGAUUUUCGGAGUCAAAAGUGGGAAUAACAACAAUCAAAAUCAAGCUUGAUACUUGAUAACCAGUGUCGAAAAUAGAGAUAUAUAUAUUACAGUCUCUGAUAUGUAGUGGGCAUAGCAAUGCCCCCAUAUCGUCUCGAAUGUUGACGCUGAUCACAAAACUACUCCAUGGAUAGCGGGCAUAAAAAAAGUCAAUUUCAUUUGAGUCCUUAAGAAAACGUUGCUAUCGCAAAGAUAGUUGAAAGGAAAUUGCGGCUUCAUAUCAUUGGGUUAGAUUUUAACAAGCUCUCAAGGGGCUCUCGACACUAUGAAGCUUAUAUCCAAGCCACUAAUUUAUUUUAAUUACGACUAUUUAUCAGUUGCGGCAGCUGCAAAACCCUUUCACCAUGACCAGAGACCAUAGACCAGAGACCAAAGACCAGAGAGACGUUAGCUGGCUGGCAGCUGUCGAGCAACUUAUUGUUCUACAUUUUCCUCAAUUACCGCUCGAGCUUUUCUCGACUGCUGCUGCUUUUUCCAUGAUUUGUGGCUGUGCUGUUGCGCUUUUAAUUAUUGCGAUUAUUGUGGCAACAGUUUACAGUUUUCAAUUGUGGCAGCAACGACGCCUCGCCUCGCCUUGCAACAACAAAUAACACAAUAAAUGAAAAAAAAAAAGCAAACCCAUUGGAAGCAAAAAGAAACAAUUUAGCACGGAAUGAAUUGCUUAGAUAAGUGUGUGUGUUUUCUUAACUUUGUGAAUGUAUCUAACAGUGUCAGCGAGCAGUGAAGCGGCAGCAAUACUCUUGGCUCCAGCUUGAUAAUUAUAAUGAGUCAAUAAUGACGUUCAAACGGGCUGCGCUGGGUCGGGCCUGUCAACGUCAACGAGUUUCCCUCGGCUAAUGUAACUAUCUUGUAGUUCUAACUGCCCGUUUCUAUCUGAAAAAAAAACGCAUAGAUGCUUCUACCGCUCUCUUAGCGAUGUCAUAUCUCAAGCUUGUGUCACACAUACGAUAGAGAUACAAAUCAAAUUA